AAACUGAUAUUAUUUUAAUGCUUUGACAAAGAAAGAGGUCACAACAACCAAUAAAUAAAAAUUUGUAUUAGUAUGGCAUCUCAUUAAUAACAGAUUUAAUAAUGGAUAGCUAUCAUUGAUAUUUACACUAUAGACACGUACUGCCAUUACAAACACCCUACGGCUGCGAUUAGAACGAGUCCCGGUUAAGUGGCCCGUAGACAGUAGCCCAGUAUUGGUGAUGGUGGUGGUACACGUAAACACACUCAAACACACCCUUCCCCACCCAAAUAACACACCCAGAACAUGCCUAAACACAUCGAAACACACACAUAUACAUACACACGCACAAAAGUGAAGUAUUGCGAUAAUCCAGGUAUGGUUUUAGCGGUAAGACAGGAGUGAACCAGCAGUGCAAGCCAGGUCAUCAUCACUUACCGCCUUCACCACAAUCCUCCACAGCGCCUUACGUAUAUUGAAGGUAACAACAACUCCUACCUGGUGAUCCUUCAGAGGCAGGGUGAUGUGGGAAGUCUUGGGGGCGGCGAGAGUCCCAGCAUUGCCCGGGGUCACCAGCACAGAGGUCACAGCAGGGCAGGAAGCCAGGGCCAGGGUGAGGGCAUGCUCCCGACCCCCUGACCCAACCACCAACACCACACCGCUCAUGUCUGUCUGCCGGUGAAGGAAAGGUUAACUGUCGACCUGUGUUAUGAUUGGUGGAUAUAAAUGAAGAUGUGAAGUUAA